CCUACGGGGGGCAGCAGUGGGGAAUAUUGCACAAUGGGCGCAAGCCUGAUGCAGCCAUGCCGCGUGUGUGAAGAAGGCCUUCGGGUUGUAAAGCACUUUCAGCGGGGAGGAAGGCGGUGAGGUUAAUAACCUCAUCGAUUGACGUUACCCGCAGAAGAAGCACCGGCUAACUCCGUGCCAGCAGCCGCGGUAAUACGGAGGGUGCAAGCGUUAAUCGGAAUUACUGGGCGUAAAGCGUACGCAGGCGGUCUGUCAAGUCGGAUGUGAAAUCCCCGGGCUCAACCUGGGAACUGCAUUCGAAACUGGCAGGCUAGAGUCUUGUAGAGGGGGGUAGAAUUCCAGGUGUAGCGGUGAAAUGCGUAGAGAUCUGGAGGAAUACCGGUGGCGAAGGCGGCCCCCUGGACAAAGACUGACGCUCAGGUGCGAAAGCGUGGGGAGCAAACAGGAUUAGAUACCCGGGUAGUC
rnacentral:rRNA from 1 species